GGUUGCGAUCAUACCAGCACUAAUGCACCGGAUCCCAUCAGGACUCCGUAGUUAAGCGUGCUUGGGAGAGAGUAGUACUAGGAUGGGUGACCCCCUAGGAAGUCCUCGUGUUGCAAUCU
rnacentral:rRNA from 1 species